UAGUAUCCCAUUUGCUAGUUGUUUUUUUGCUCUCUCUCUUUCCUCCAUAUCAACAAAAAGCUAGUUCAAAAUAAAUCUACCUUGUCGUGGACCUUAAGGAUCCAAAAACUAGCAUCUCCUACCCAACUAAAAAGACGAGGACAUUGUUUUGAUGCGACUUUUGCCUUCGUCCUGCCUCUCCCUCCCAUGCGUCCCCGUCCCCGUUUUUGGAAACACCCGAUCGUUGCGAUCCCCUACCCCUUCUCUACCGCGCCCCAUUCCCCUCCGAUCCGCAACAAACACAUUCUCCCCUCAGAUCCGCAAGAGACGCGCCCUGAUCCCGCGAUUCCCCGCAAUCCCAUGCCCCGAUCCCCUCCCUGGACGCCCGAUCUCGGCCAUGGCCGCGAGCUAUCGAGCGUCGUCGCAACCGCUGCCAUGAGCGCUGUCGCAACCGCCGCCAUGAGUGCCGUCGCAACCGCCGCCACGAGUGCGUUGUGACUGCCGCCACAUCCCUGGACGAGAUCGCUGUCGGGACCACCACCAUCUCCCUGGACGAGAGCGCCGUCGGGACCAACGCCACGAGCAUCCGAGGCCGCCGGCGGCAACCGUGGUAUGCAAACGCACGGCUCCCCCUUCCUUUUCCCCCUCUCCUGACUUCGUGGUAUGCAAACGCAAGACUUUUUGCGCCGCCAGGUGGGACAGGCGCGGUGUCCCAUGCCCUUGCUCCCCCGCACCCGGCCACGCCUCGCGCAACUCCGCCUGCCUUUCACGGUUCCGCCUCGCCUCCCCGCAUGACCCGUGCAAAGAUCUCGGAGAUUCGUUCGCCGCCCGGUGCCCCCGACUUCGCGACGCCCUCGACAGCCAUCGCCACCGUCAGGGCCGCCAGCACCGCCGCCUUCUGCUCAAUGUCGGCGCAAUCGCCGUACCAGAGAGCCUCCUCACGAUCUGAACCUGGCCAUUGUCUAGGGGGCAGGGGCUUUCUUGCAGUUCCUUUUUGAUAACCUGUUUGUUUCUUCCUUGAAUUGUAGGCAUGUCAAGAUGACGAUUUUGCACUACAAUUCAUAAGGUACCUCCUCAUAGUCCUUCAACAGACUUAGUUUUGAUGUUUGACUGAAUUUUGAUGCUUGGUGUGGCAUUGUGUUGGACAUGCUGCAUCUAGCUUUUAAGGAACAGAACAAAGAUUUGGCUUGUGCAUCCAUAAUGACAAAGUUUAUUCAGGGGCUUAGAUAACUCAUGGACUGGGUUUUGAAGGUUUCUGCAUAACAUGUAAUGCAGCCAUACUUUCAGUUUUGCUCUUGAAUCAUCAGUAUUGAAUAAUGAAAAGUAGAAGACCUUUCUUUAGAGGCUUCAGGGCUUAUUGACAAUAUCACCUUAUGAUUUCUAUUCUAAUUGGUUCAAGUUGUUGAUGUAAACCCUUCAUAUUGUUGGGAUCUCACAUGGCAAACUCAAAAUCCCCAACCAACAAAAGUUGGCCUUAUUACUUCACUAAGGAUAAAGUGAAGGGGAAGGGUUUUAAUCCUGCGUGGUGGUGCGAUGUGCCAAUUGUUUGUCAAGGGCUGCAUUGUCGUCUAAAGUGACACUGCCGCAAGAUUCACCUGCCUUGGUAUGGACUCAAGUGUAGAAUGUCUCCAAUGCAGUGUGUUUAUGUGAAUAUUUUUGUCGUGUGGAUGAUAGCUGUGAGAAUGGAAGUUGAGAGUUGAGAAUUAGAACUUGAUGUGUGCUCCCAUAAUUAGUAGAACAGAAUGGAUGAUAAGUUGUAGCUAUGUGAGGACAAUGUUGUGUACUUGGCAAAUGUGAUCUGUAAUGUGUUGGCACUGCUAUAUGUUUAUGCACAAAGCAUUAUUAGCUACUUGUUUUGAUCUUCGAUUAGUUGGACAAUAUCAUUUAA